CCCUCUAGAAUCCUCCAACAUGGAGCCUCUUGCAGCUUACCCGCUAAAAUGUUCCGGGCCCAGAGCAAAGCUUUUAUGCCUUUGAAGUGAAGGAUGCAAAAGGAAGAACCGUUUCUCUGGAAAAGUAUAAAGGCAAAAUUCUUCAAAGAAGGAACCAAGGUGGAAUUUUUGGAAGUAUCUUGUCAACCCUGAGGGUCAAGUUGUGAAGUUCUGGAGGCCAGAGGAGCCCAUUGAAGUCAUCAGGCCUGACAUAGCAGCUCUGGACUGUACUUGAUGAAAAUGCCAACACACUAGACCACUCUUUGGAUUCAAGAGCACUGUGUAUGACUGAAAUUUCUGGAAUAACUGU
rnacentral:sRNA from 1 species